CUGCCCCAGCGCGUUGCAGUCGCGCAACGACAGCGUGGUAGAAUAUCCGGCUCCGUGGCUUUUGCUUCGGUGUUUCCUAGGCAUCGUCGUGCAGGGAGUGUCGAGCCCGCCCCAAAUGGUCGUUUCCCCUACAGUUUCCUGUACCUUUUGAGAUGUCCGUCGUUCUGUCUGGUCCUGCCAUUGAUCCAUGCUAUUUGCUACUGAGAUGUCUUCAUUCCUGUCUGCCUAGUCCCAUCAGGACAAAAGAUGAAUCAUAAAAAAAGAAAAAAAAGAAGUAAAAACAAAAGGAGGAAACAACCACAUGUUAAACCUUUCUGAGGCAUUGUGCACAUCAUGUUUAAAGAGUUUAUUUUGUGAUUGGUUUGCAUUUUCACUGGUUUGUCAUGAUUACAGUCACAGUGUCCAAUUUGUUAAGGAAAAAACUAUGUGUAUAAUUUUGCUUGUUGAUUGCAUGCAAUGUAAAUAUACUUUAAAAUUUAGAUUCAUAGUGCCAUCUCUUAAAUAUCUCUAUCAAGAUUAGUAGAGCAGACCCACAUACUUCAAACCAUCAAACAAUGCCAGUUGGAUUAUUUUUACCUCCGUACCUUGAGAAAGAUGGCAUUCAGUAAACAGUUGUCUCUUUUCAAAUUUUAUUUUUUUAUUUUUUUAUUUUUUUUCAACGUUUAUUUAUUUUUGAGACAGAGAGAGACACAGCAUGAACGGGGGAGGGGCAGAGAGAGAGGGAGACACAGAAUCGGAAGCAGGCUCCAGGCUCUGAGCCAUCAGCCCAGAGCCAGAUGCGGGGCUCGAACUCACGGACCGUGAGAUCGUGACCUGAGCUGAAGUCAGACGCUUAACCGACUGAGCCACCCAGGUGCCCCUCAAAUUUUAUUUUUGAAAAUACAUAUUAACAUAGUUUCAUAUAAUGAUACUAAACUCAGUAUAAUUGAUAUACAGAAUUGCAAGUCCUUAGUAAAGGAAUCUGUUGAAAGUAAAACCAUGUCCAAUGACUCUCAAAAUAAAUAUGAUCAAAGCAGCAAAGAUAGUUUUCAUCUUGUCUUCCAUUUUCUGUGGAACAGUUCGGGCAGUAGCUGCUCUUCCCAAUCAGGGCCUUAAAAUCACAUUUUAAAUCUCUAUGUAAGAGCACAUAGCAAACAGUACUGUAUUUGUUGCCAAUGAUAAAAGUUGAGCUCUCAAGGAAAAACCAGAAUUUUGGUAAAUCUGUAUCCACUACUCAUUUUCCCUCUUUGUCUUAGAUCAUGAGGUUAACAGUUUAUCCAAACUUAAUGACUUUUCUGAUGAGAUUAGUAAUGAUGUUAAUGAAUAUGUAUUUUUUAUGUUGUAUAACUAAGGGAGUUACUUUUUAGAAGAUCUGCAUAAUUUAGUAGACCAAUAUUUCUCAGAUAAUCAAUGCACGAUGUUACAGAAUCAUGGACCAGUAAAAGCCGUUUGAAGUACGAAGUUGACUAAUGGAUUUUAAUGGAAUAGAGUAUGAAAAUCAUUGCUAUGAUUUCAUAUUCCACAUUGUAACUAACUGUUUUGGUCUCUGAACUGUGGAUAAUUUGUUUUGUUUUUUUUUUUAAUUGUGGUAAAAUGUACAUAAUAUAAAAUUCACCAUUUUCACCAUUUAAAAAAAUCUUUUCAAUGUUUUUAUUUAUUUUUGAGAAAGAGAGAGAGAGGGUAAGAGAGAGCACAUGAGCUGGGGAGGGGCAGAGAGAAAGGGAAACACAGAUUCUGAAGCAGGCUCCAGGCUCCGCACUGUCAGCACAGGGCCCGAUGGGGGGCUCAAACUGCGGGAUCAUGACCUGGGCCAAAGUUGGACUCUCAACCAACUGAGCCACCCAGGCACCCCUUAACCAUUUUUUAAAGUGUACAGUUGAGUGGCAUUAGGUGUAUUCACAUUGUUGUACAACCACCACCCAUUACAUAUCCAGAAUUUUUCAUCAUCCCCAACUGAAAUUCUGUACCCAUUAUAGUAGUA